GACGAACGCUGGCGGCGUGCUUAACACAUGCAAGUCGAACGGAGCGAAUGAAAGCUUGCUUUUAUAAGCUUAGUGGCAAACGGGUGAGUAACACGUAGGCAACCUGCCGACAGGAUGGGGACAACAUUCCGAAAGGAAUGCUAAUACCGAAUGAAGUCGAGGGAGGGCAUCCUCCUCCGAUGAAAGAUGGCCUCUAUAUAUAAGCUAUCACCUGUCGAUGGGCCUGCGUCUGAUUAGCUGGUAGGUGAGGUAACGGCUCACCUAGGCGACGAUCAGUAGCCGGUCUGAGAGGAUGAACGGCCACAUUGGGACUGAGACACGGCCCAGACUCCUACGGGAGGCAGCAGUGGGGAAUCUUUCCGCAAUGGGGCGCAAAGCCCUGACGGGAGCAAACGCCGCGUGAGUGAAAGAAAGGUCUUCGGAAUCGGAA
rnacentral:rRNA from 1 species